CCUACGGGAGGCAGCAGUGGGGAAUAUUGUACAAUGGGGGAAACCCUGAUGCAGCGACGCCGCGUGGACGAUGAAGUAUUUCGGUAUGUAAAGCUCUAUCAGCAGAGAAGAAAAUGACGGUACCUGACUAAUAAGCCCCGGCUAACUACGUGCCAGCAGCCGCGGUAAUACGGAGGGUGCAAGCGUUAUCCGGAUUUACUGGGCGUAAAGGGAGCGUAGACGGGUGUGCAAGGCAGAUGUGAAAGCCCGGGGCUCAACCCCGGGACUGCAUUUGGAACUGUGUGGCUGGAGUGUCGGAGAGGCAGGCGGAAUUCUUAGUGUAGCGGUGAAAUGCGUAGAGAUUAGGAGGAACACUAGUGGCGAAGGCGGCCUGCUGGAAGAUGACUGACGUUGAGGCGCGAAAGCGUGGGGAGCAAACAGGAUUAGAUACCCGAGUAGUC
rnacentral:rRNA from 1 species